rnacentral:tRNA from 1 species
GUGGGUAUAGCUCAGUGGUAGAGCACAUGCUUAGUUAGCAUGCACAUGAUCUUGGGUUCAAUCCCCAGUACUUCA